rnacentral:rRNA from 1 species
UGGGGAAUAUUGCACAAUGGGCGCAAGCCUGAUGCAGCCAUGCCGCGUGUGUGAAGAAGGCCUUCGGGUUGUAAAGCACUUUCAGCGGGGAGGAAGGCGUUAAGGUUAAUAACCUUGGCGAUUGACGUUACCCGCAGAAGAAGCACCGGCUAACUCCGUGCCAGCAGCCGCGGUAAUACGGAGGGUGCAAGCGUUAAUCGGAAUUACUGGGCGUAAAGCGCACGCAGGCGGUCUGUCAAGUCGGAUGUGAAAUCCCCGGGCUCAACCUGGGAACUGCAUUCGAAACUGGCAGGCUAGAGUCUUGUAGAGGUGGGUAGAAUUCCAGGUGUAGCGGUGAAAUGCGUAGAGAUCUGGAGGAAUACCGGUGGCGAAGGCGGCCCCCUGGACAAAGACUGACGCUCAGGUGCGAAAGCGUGGGGAGCAAACAGG